rnacentral:rRNA from 1 species
AUUGAACACUGGCGGCAUGCUUUACACAUGCAAGUCGAACGGUAACAGGCCGCAAGGUGCUGACGAGUGGCGAACGGGUGAGUAAUGCAUCGGAACGUGCCCAGUCGUGGGGGAUAACUACUCGAAAGAGUAGCUAAUACCGCAUACGAUCUAUGGAUGAAAGCGGGGGACCGUAAGGCCUCGCGCGAUUGGAGCGGCCGAUGUCAGAUUAGGUAGUUGGUGGGGUAAAGGCUCACCAAGCCAACGAUCUGUAGCUGGUCUGAGAGGACGACCAGCCACACUGGGACUGAGACACGGCCCAGACUCCUACGGGAGGCAGCAGUGGGGAAUUUUGGACAAUGGGCGCAAGCCUGAUCCAGCAAUGCCGCGUGCAGGAAGAAGGCCUUCGGGUUGUAAACUGCUUUUGUACGGAACGAAACGGCUCUGGUUAAUACCCGGGGCUAAUGACGGUACCGUAAGAAUAAGCACCGGCUAACUACGUG